UGGAGCAUCUGCAGAGGCAGACGAAGGUCACGUCUGUGAGCAACCCCACCAUCAAGCCCCACUCGGUGCCAUCGCACACAGUAAGGCUCUCACAGUCAUGGCCUGUGCUGGGACUGUCAGUGGAUACAGGAGUUAAACCCUUGCCUCCUGCCCCUGUAGGUGUCAUCACAGAGCAAACUGCCCCAGACACUUUGUGUCUGCUCUCAAUCUUAGUGAUGCUUUGAGCUACUUCAGAGGGUUCCCAUUGACCCCUAGAAGCCACCAGCCCUGUCAGUGAAUUUUUCUCUCUGAGAACUUUAAACUCUACAUAUGUCAUUCAUAAACAGAAAAAGCAAGAGAGAAGUGUAAAGGCUAUUGAAAUGGUGUCCGACACAGUUCCCAAUUUACUUUUAAGAAGUGAUGGGUCUCGUCUGGAACCAUAGCAAAAGGUUACUGCAUCUCUUGUUACUGUAGUGCUGGGGUUAUUGAAGUUACAGAAACACAUCUAGUCUGUUUCACAGAAAGGUAUAUCUGUUAAGUCUCGCUAAGUGACUGACAGGACAGGUAAAUGUGUUUCAUGUUUUGCACACCAAUGCAGCAGGAUUUGUAUAACCACAUGACUUCAUAGUUGUGAUCUCAAAGGAACUUCUCCUUUUUCUUGCAAUUAAUGUAAGAACACUCUAAAUCUCUACACGUCUGAAGGAUUAGAGGUAGAAAUGGUCUAGUAAAGAUGUAAUGUUUAUCCAUUUAAAAAAAAAAACAAAAAA
rnacentral:lncRNA from 1 species